AUUGAACGCUGGCGGCAGGCCUAACACAUGCAAGUCGAACGAGUGGCGGACGGGUGAGUAAUGUCUGGGAAACUGCCCGAUGGAGGUGGAUAAAUACUGGAAACGGUAGCUAAUACCGCGUACCAUCGGAUGUGCCCAGAUGGGAUUAGCUUGUAGGUGAGGUAACGGCUCACCUAGGCGACGAUACCUAGCUGGUCUGAGAGGAUGAGCACACACACGUGAACUGUGAGACGGUCCGGACUCCUACGGUGGGUAGCAGGGGGGAUUAUGGGACAAUGGGCGAAAGCCUGAUGCAGACAUGCCGGGUUUAUGAAGAAGGCCUUCGGUUUGUAAAGUACUUUCAGCGGGGAGGCGUUACCCUCAGAAGAAGCACCUGCUAACUCCGUGCCAGCAGCCGCGGUAAUAC
rnacentral:rRNA from 1 species